rnacentral:rRNA from 1 species
CCCUACGGGAGGCAGCAGUGGGGAAUAUUGCACAAUGGGCGCAAGCCUGAUGCAGCCAUGCCGCGUGUAUGAAGAAGGCCUUCGGGUUGUAAAGUACUUUCAGCGGGGAGGAAGGCGAUGCGGUUAAUAACCGCGUCGAUUGACGUUACCCGCAGAAGAAGCACCGGCUAACUCCGUGCCAGCAGCCGCGGUAAU